rnacentral:misc_RNA from 1 species
GGACUACUAGGGUUUCUAAUCCUGUUUGAUACCCACACUUUCGAGCAUCAGUGUCAGUUGCAGUCUAGUGAGCUGCCUUCGCAAUCGGAGUUCUUCGUGAUAUCUAAGCAUUUCACCGCUACACCACGAAUUCCGCCCACCUCUACUGUACUCAAGACUGCCAGUUUCAACUGCAAUUUUACGGUUGAGCCGCAAACUUUCACAACUGACUUAACAAUCCACCUGCGCUCCCUUUAAACCCAAUAAAUCCGGAUAACGCUCGCAUCCUCCGUAUUACCGCGGCUGCUGGCAC